GGUAUUGAAUUAAAAUUUACUAUUUUCCACUAAGAUUGUUCAAUUUUAGUUGUAUUUUUGGUUUUGAGUAACUUUUGUUUUAAUUCUUAUUUGUUAAUUGUUAUAAAGAAAGAACGAAAAGAUUUUAAAGUCGAUCAACACAAUUUAAACCCCCUUCGUACUGUGUUGUGUUUCUUCAUGCACCUUCAAUUAUAUCUAAGGGUUUUAGGAUGUCAAACAAUAUUAUUUUUAAUUUGUGAUUUUCCGUUUUCUAUCAUAAAAGCUUUUAAACUAAAGAAAAUUUGUUAAAAAAUAUGAAUUAUUUUAAUUUGUAUAUUUUACACGACCUCUUUACAAAAGGUGUUAAAGGGGCAACACAUUGUUGUACUUAAUUAAGAGACAUCUAAUAAUUGUAAACAAAAAAUGGAAGUCUUUUCACACCUCUUGAAGUACUAUAAAAACUAUUUAAUUGUUGUAAGGAGAACAAUGACUUUAUAAAUCAAGACGUGAUAAACUACAAUUCUAUGUAAUACACAUACAAAAGGUAGAGAAAAUAUGAAUAAAAUUUUCAAGUUUGUUAAUGUUAUGAUAAUCAUUCUUUCUCUAUUAUUUGUUUCAACACAAAGUCAGGUUUAUGUUCCCGUUCCAUGUGUUACUGAUCGUGAUUGUGUAACUUCCACCCCCUCCUUGAAUAGCAAAUCUCCUAGAAGAAUGAAGUGUCGUAAUGGUUAUUGUGUAUAGGCUAAUUAUAAAGCUCGAAAGAUUAUAUGAUUGUCAAACCCAAAAGAAUACACAAAUGCACAACGUGAAUAAUUUUUCAUGAGUUCUUAUUUAGUUAUUGUGAUCACUCAUUGAGUGAAUUUUCUUUUAGCUUUUCUAAUUUCACGUAUCUUGAUAGUUUUGUACUUUAAGAUGAUGCAAGUGAAAUGAAAUAAAACAUGAAAAAUAUUAUCGACAA